ACAGUCCAGAGGAGCUGAGGAGUCUUUUACCCAGACUAGAGCAGGAGCUGAAGGAUUCUGGGAAAUUCAGAGACUUCUAUCAGUUCACGUUUAGCUUUGCCAAAAGUCCCGGACAGAAGGGUUUAGAUCUGGAGAUGGCCGUGGCCUACUGGAAUCUCAUUCUGACCGGCCGCUUUAAGUUCCUCGACCUCUGGAGCACUUUCCUUCUGGUACGUCA